AUGGUUUCCGAGACAGAACACAAAAUAAUGACAGACCUACCGGCCGAGUUACUCGAGUACAUCUUAUGCUUCCCUGUCCUCAAGCAUGUCGACAUUUGCAACGUUUCCUGCAGCUGCAAGCGGUUACACGACGUUUGCCAUGGCAGAGGGAAGGUCUGGGGACACCAGUACAAACUCAGAUGGCCAAGAUUGCAGAAGCAUUACCGCCAGAAUGAGUGUUGCGAUUGGCUGAAAGAAUACAGAACGCGACACACUGUUGGUCUACAAAUACGACGAACAGUUGUAUCCAUCUCAAAGAGAUUCUUCACGGAAGUUGUGCUGGGGGACAGCUUUGCUGAGAUUGAGUCCCUCGGG